AGCUGUUGCCUUUCCCAGGGGCCGAGGAGACUGUGCCUUGAAUGUGAAUCCUUCAAAGUAGCUCCAUGCUGUGUCCCUGAGUGGGGCCAGGUCUCAGCC
ensembl:miRNA Mir6394 microRNA 6394